rnacentral:rRNA from 1 species
UACGGAGGGGGCUAGCGUUGUUCGGAAUUACUGGGCGUAAAGCGCACGUAGGCGGCUUUGCAAGUUAGAGGUGAAAGCCCGGGGCUCAACUCCGGAAUUGCCUUUAAAACUGCAUCGCUAGAAUUGUUGGAGAGGUAAGUGGAAUUCCGGAGUGUAGAGGUGAAAUUCGUAGAUAUUCGGAAGAACACCAGUGGCGAAGGCGACUUACUGGACACAUAUUGACGCUGAGGUGCGAAAGCGUGGGGAGCAACAGG